UAAUUGUUAUAUUAGUCCUCAAGGGAAGAUAUCCGAAUUUACCGCUAUGGUACAUGUUCGAACUAGUGCACUUGCUAGUGAGUUCACAUCACAACAAUAAUUAUUAGUAGGAAUGUUGUAUUUGAUGAAGAUGCAAGCUGGAGUUUGGAAAAAAAAAAUCAGAUAGCAUUUAGUUUGAAGUUCCACUUGAAAAUAAAGCUCCACUAACUAAUGGACAACAACCAACUCCUUUAAAUACUUCCAGCUCACCUUCUU
rnacentral:lncRNA from 1 species